UUUCCUGGUUGUGACCGGUUGAUUUAUCGAUGAUCUCAUUAACUGCAGUCGGUAUGCACCCCUAAGUCUGAGGAAUACGAUGUCGACAUACCGGCGAUAGUGCAUAUCGGCUCUGAUGCAGUUGGGAACACCGACACACAGCGUCAGCUAGAUGUCCCUACCGUACGCAAACUGCAUGCUCUGUUUGUCUUGCAAGCGCGUUUGCCUCCACGCUGCAUCGCAUCAGUCUGUCAGUUAUCGCAGCAAUGUCCGCGUUUAUUGUUGUAUAACCUUUCAGUUGUCAAAUAUGCAAAUCUCAGAAAUGCGUAUUACAUUGUUGAAAUUAUCUCAAUCAUUGACUGGCAAUGUUUUCACCUACCUGAGUUAAGAAAGGAUUGUGUGCAUUGAGUACAGUGUAUAUACUGAAAAAGAUAUUUUGCUUACAUUUGAGCUUCUUGUCAGUCCAAUGAAAAUAAAUUUGGACUUUGGGAUUGUUCAUCGCUAAAAGUGAUUCAUCAAUGAUUUUCCUUGAAACAAAUGAUAUAAAGAAAUUUGAAUCUUUCAGACCACACCCAAAUACAGAAGAUAAAUCCUGCAGUCAACCUUAAAAUGUUGGCCAAAAUUAUGCAUUCAUGUCUGUUGUGGUUCAUACUUUUUAAUGCUGUUCUUGGAUCACGUUCAGUAUAUUUCUGUGAUACAUGCAAUGAGAUAUAUGCUGAGAAAUAUUAUUCAGAUGAUAAUCGGACAUGUUAUCCCACCAACUGCACUUCUAGUGGCUGUGAUAAUAGACGUUUCAAGAACUCACUGAAGCCCUUCCAAACCCAAAAAAGCCUCGGAAAUUUUCAAUUAAGUUUCUACGUAUGGCCAGAAUAUAAAGUCGGCAGAGUUAGUACCACUGUCCUGAACUUGACUGUGACAAAUAUCACGUUUUAUGAAUUGACAAUACAACUGAGCAACCCAGUAACCCCACCGUAUUGUCAAACUAUGAGGUUGAAUCCAAAUGUAACUGGGCAAUUGCCAGAAAAACUGUCAUUCAACUUUAUCAUGAAACCUGGGAUGGACACAAUUCUUGGAUUUGAGGCAGUAGGAGAGAAUUCUAAAUACGUUGGAGAAUAUCGGUUUAUACCUUUUGCUCCUUGGGAUAUCGCAAAGGCAAAUUUGACCGGUUAUCCAAUAUUUAUGUAUGUGGAUACGACUUGCUCUGAUAGCGUACAAUUGUACGUACAACCGAUGCCUGACCACUUCAAUGUAAAUACCUAUGAAGGGUGGUUUAAACUUAAUAAGACUACGGUUGGAGAACCGUUCUACUUAGUUAAAGAUAAAAUGACUCACAUACAGAAUACUUAUACAGAGGACAAUGGUCUUUAUCACUUUGAGAUUAUUCCAAAACAUCCUGAUUGCGGUGACAGAGGCUGUAAACCAAUCACUAGUGCAGCAUUUCAAAUGAAACAGAGCAGUGGACGGGUGAUUAUAAUGAUAGUCAGUCCAGUAGUGGCAGUGGGUGUGUUUAUCCUCGCUUCCACGCUGGGAUUUAAAUGGUGGAAGCGCAAAGUAUUUCUACACUUACCAAAAAGAGGGCCAAGUAUUCUGCUGAUGUAUGACCCUGUCUGUGAUGCUCACGUUCGUGUUAUGACCGAAUUUGCAAAAUAUCUAAGGGCCUGCCACGUAGAUGCCAUGAUCGACAAAUCUGAUGUUCCAAACGAACAAUCGAAGGAUCCAAUAACUUGGUGCACAAAGGCAUUUCGAAAGGCCACACUUAUUUUACUUGCAUUAUCUCCGUCAGUAGACAGUUCUGUCCAAACUACCGAAACGGCUUAUCGAAAUCUGUUUAAUCAUACCCUCAACUUGAUAAAAACGUGUCAUGAGCGAAAAAAUAAAGAAAUUAUACUCAUCAAAUUCCCCUACACUGAAACGGACAGAAUACUAACUGUCGAAGGUUUAAUCAGUGACAAACCUAUCAAGAUGCCUACAGGCCGGAAGCUCCUCUUGAAGAAAAUUUAUGGCGUAUUUUACAAAGAACUUGAUCGGAUAUGUACUAAAGAGUUUGAUGAAACUAUAAAAUCGGCAACAGAAAACAUUCUUCAUCGACGACCUCUCACUCCUUCAGAUGAGGUCACUCGAUUGAUGCCCUCAGAGCGUGAUCGGGAUCCUGAAUCAAAGAGUGAUGAUGAGUCUUCCGACACUUUGGACAUGAUUGAAGCGACUGUACCUGAUAGUAGUGAGGGUAAGGAAAAACCUGUAGUAGAUAUGCACACUUUAUUUUGGGGACGAAGCGAUGACAGCACACAAGAUCCAGAAAAACCAAGGACACCACAAAAAUCGCCUGCGCCGGCAUCUGCAAUAGAUAUCCGGCAAUUAUUGGCGUUCGAUCAAUAAUCGCGGUUCCCACUGGUGUAGCAGAUAUAUGUACGGUGACGUUUGUCAAAAUGCACCAUAAUGACUGAUUAUGAAUUGAUAUUGACAAACGGAGUUGCAUACAGCACUAGAAAUCGGUAGCUGGCGGUUCCAAAACUUGGUUAAUGGAUACCAUAAGGUAGCACAAGAAUCAAUCAAGUACAAGAAAGUAAUGGGAACUAAUGUUUUACAAUUUUUCAUAUCCGAUUCGGUUCCAAAACUGAUUGCAUUUUCCAAAAAUUUAAAAAUAAUGUUGAUUACGUUUUUACAUUCGACAUAAGUGUGUAAUUAUAUUUUAUUACAUAGUAAUUACAAGCCAAGAAUAAUUGCAACUUACUUACUACAGUGCCACAGAUUCAUCUUGCUUUUCAUAAGAACUUUUAUUGUUAUAUAUCGUAAAUAGAUGAUGUUAAAACUAGUUUGGUUUUUAAAUGUAUAAAGUCAUAUCGAUCAAAGUAAUUAUAUAGAUUACUGGAA